CUGCAGCUUUGGGAUGAACUGUUCCAUAGAUAUCAAUUAAAUCCAUUUUAUUUACUGUGUCAUUUAAAGUUGCAAUUUUAUAGAUGAUUUUUUGCCUGGGAAAGUU